GUGGGAUGACGUCAAUCAUCAUGCCCCUUAUGACCUGGGCUACACACGUGCUACAAUGGUUGGUACAACGAGUUGCGAGUCGGUGACGGCGAGCUAAUCUCUUAAAGCCAAUCUCAGUUCGGAUUGUAGGCUGCAACUCGCCUACAUGAAGUCGGAAUCGCUAGUAAUCGCGGAUCAGCACGCCGCGGUGAAUACGUUCCCGGGCCUU
rnacentral:rRNA from 1 species